AAAAAAAGGAACGAUACAGAGAAGAUUAGCAUGGUCCCUAGGCAAGGAUGACAUGCAAAUUCGUGAAGUGUUUUUUU
ensembl:snRNA U6 U6 spliceosomal RNA